AGUGAACGCUGGCGGCGUGCCUAAUACAUGCGAGUCGAACGGAGAUUAAGUAGCUUGCUAUUUAAUCUUAGUGGCGCACGGGUGAGUAAUAUAUAGCUAACUUGCCCAUUACUAAGGGACAACAGUUGGAAACGACUGCUAAUACCUUAUACUCCGUAUCUAUAUAAGUAGAUACGGGAAAGUUUUUCGGUAAUGGAUAGGGCUAUAUCGUAUCAGCUAGUUGGUAAGGUAAUGGCUUACCAAGGCUAUGACGCGUAACUGGUCUGAGAGGAUGAUCAGUCACACUGGAACUGAGACACGGUCCAGACUCCUACGGGGGGCAGCAGUAGGGAAUAUUGCUCAAUGGGGGAAACCCUGAAGCAGCAACGCCGCGUGGAGGAUGACACUUUUCGGAGCGUAAACUCCUUUUCUUGGGAAAGAAUUAUGACGGUACCCAAGGAAUAAGCGCCGGCUAACUCCGUG
rnacentral:rRNA from 1 species